AAUCCUAUGGACUUGCUGAACCAAAAGAAAUGAGCAUUUUGAAGCCUUUGAACAUUUUGUCAAAUGACCCUCCAAGAGAAUGUAAACUCUCGCUCAGCGCCAAGCACAGCAUCAUCAGUGCCUGUCAAAGUGCCUCGCAUAUAGUUCAUCCUCGAUAAAUACAUGUUGAAUAGAUGAAUGCACAGGAAAAAGGAAAUAAUUUUAGUAUUGCGCUAACCAAGCAUAAUACUCAAGCUAAAUCUAAUGUAAAACUUACCACCAGCUGCCUUCCGGAAACAAGUGAAAAAAGACAAGAGACACCACAAACAAUGAGGAUGUCAACUGAUGGGCGGCACGGUGACUUCGAGAACAGGAUGAGUUCCCAGCAUCUUUGUCAGAAAUUUCACAACCACGGCCGAUGUCACA
rnacentral:lncRNA from 1 species